AUUUGAAUUAUUUGAACACAUUCGAUGUCUCGCAGUAUAUUUUUGUGUUUUGUUUAUUAUAAAAAUCAAAUCACAGGAUUAUACUGUGAGUUAUCGGCUGAAACAACAACAAAUUGAAUU
rnacentral:precursor_RNA from 15 species